AACGAACGCUGGCGGCGUGCCUAACACAUGCAAGUCGAACGCGAAAAGGGCUUCGGCCCCUAGUAGAGUGGCGUACGGGUGAGUAACGCGUGGGUCAUCUGCCCUCGGGUGGGGAAUAACUAAUCGAAAGGUUAGCUAAUACCGCAUAACACAGUGAUGUCAAAGCAGCAAUGUGCCUGAGGAGGAGCCUGCGUCUGAUUAGGUAGUUGGUGGGGUAACGGCCUACCAAGCCUGCGAUCAGUAGCUGGUCUGAGAGGACGGCCAGCCACAAUGGCACUGAAAUACGGGCCAUACUCCUACGGGAGGCAGCAGUGGGGAAUUUUGCGCAAUGGGCGAAAGCCUGACGCAGCAACGCCGCGUGAGGGAUGAAAUAUUUCGGUAUGUAAACCUCGCAAAUAUGGGAAGAACAAAAUGACGGUACCAUAUGUAAGCCACGGCUAACUUCGUGCCAGCCGCCGCAGUAAGAC
rnacentral:rRNA from 1 species